rnacentral:rRNA from 1 species
CAGUAGCCGCGGUAAUACGUAGGGUGCAAGCGUUAAUCGGAAUUACUGGGCGUAAAGCGUGCGCAGGCGGUUCUAUAAGACAGAUGUGAAAUCCCCGGGCUCAACCUGGGACCUGCAUUUGUGACUGUAUAGCUAGAGUACGGUAGAGGGGGAUGGAAUUCCGCGUGUAGCAGCGAAAUGCGUAGAUAUGCGGAGGAACACCGAUGGCGAAGGCAAUCCCCUGGACCCGUACUGACGCUCAUGCACGAAAGCGUGGGGAGCAAACAGGAUUAGAGACCCCCGUAGUCCCUGUCUCUUAUAC